rnacentral:rRNA from 1 species
CCUACGGGAGGCAGCAGUGAGGAAUAUUGGUCAAUGGACGAGAGUCUGAACCAGCCAAGUAGCGUGAAGGAUGACUGCCCUAUGGGUUGUAAACUUCUUUUAUAUGGGAAUAAAAUGUUCCACGUGUGGGCUUUUGUAUGUACCAUAUGAAUAAGGAUCGGCUAACUCCGUGCCAGCAGCCGCGGUAAUACGGAGGAUCCGAGCGUUAUCCGGAGUUAUUGGGUUUAAAGGGAGCGUAGGUGGAUUGUUAAGUCAGUUGUGAAAGUUUGCGGCUCAACCGUAAAAUUGCAGUUGAAACUGGCAGUCUUGAGUACAGUAGAGGUGGGCGGAAUUCGUGGUGUAGCGGUGAAAUGCUUAGAUAUCACGAAGAACACCGAUUGCGAAGGCAGCUCACUGGACUGCAACUGACACUGAGGCUCGAAAGUGUGGGUAUCAAACAGGAUUAGAUACCCUAGUAGUC